rnacentral:rRNA from 1 species
GACGAACGCUGGCGGCGUGCUUAACACAUGCAAGUCGAACGGAAAGGCCCUGAUUUUGUGUGUUUCUCGAUUGGCGAACGGGGGAGUAACACGUGAGUAACCUGCCCUUAUCUUUCGGAUAACAUCAGGAAACUGGGGCUAAUACCGGAUAGGAUCUCCUGCUGCAUGUUGUGGGAUGGAAAGUGUCGGCGGUUGUGGAUGGUCUCGCUGCGUAUUAGCUUGUUGGGGGGGUAGUGGCUUACCAAGGCUUUGACGGGUAGCCGGCCUGAGAGGGUGAGCGGCCAACUUGGGACGGAGAUACGGCCAGGACUCCUACGGGAGGCAGCAGUAGGGAAUAUUGGAAAAGGGGCGGAAGCCUGAUGCGGCAACGCCGCGUGAGAGAUGGCGGUCAUGGAGGUGUAAACGGGUUUCGACUGGGACGAAGCGUGAGUGACGGUAAUCGGUAAAGAAGCACCGGCUAACUA